UUUGCAUCUCAUAUUUUGGUCUCCCUUUCUGUUACAUACAUCCCUUCUCAAUUACUUCAUUUCUUUUCACUUAUUUGGCUCCCCUGCUAUGAUAACCCUUGGUCACUCUACUCUCUUUUUAUCCUUUGGUUUAGAUUCUUACGGAUGUUUGUAGUGGUUAUGGUCCUCGGAGUCAGGCUUAUCAUUCUAUGUUGAAGACAUUUUGCGGCCUCUUCUUUGACUAGACUUUUAUGGUUAACUUGUUUAUUUGGUAUCUCAUGAGACAUACUGUUGGGAAGGAUCAAGAGGGUGUAGACGAGUAUGGGAGGGGUUCUGGGAGGAGAUUUUUGUUUAACUCACUUCAAUAGCCCAUUUGGUCAAUGCCACGAGUUUCAUGCAUGCAGAUUUUCUGUUGUUAUUUAUUACCAACAUUUGAGGUUCCUUCUUUGUCAGCAAGUAAAUACCAGAAUUUCUUGAAUUUUCAGUUAGGGUUUGUCUUCAGGUAAUCUAUUGCGAUUUAUCAUUGUUGAUGGUGGGUUGACCAUUGUUGACGGGAGGAUUCAGAGGGCAGAUUUACAUUACACUGGCAAGGUCAAUCCAGCUAGAGGAUAGUUACUCCAAGGUUAGCAAUUGUGCUAAAUAUCAUACUUGUAGGGUCAAAUCAUAUUCAUAAAAACUAAUUGACAAUUAGUUUUAUGAAUAAUUACUGCCGUUUCUUUUAAAUGCCAUGAAUUUAUCCAGAUCAUAAUUUUAGGUAGAAUACUUGUGCGCUGUUAUUUGUUUACUUUGUUUCUAGCCAUUUAUGGAAAAGCCACAUAUGCUGGUUGUGUUUCAAUACGCGGCUCGUUGCUCACUUUUAAGAAUAGAUUAUCCAUUAUCACCCAUCAAUCAUCGAAUGAUUGGAGAAGAUAAUGUUACUGAAAUUGUUGGAUAGUGGUCGAUAGCCCUAGGGGCGGAGCUAGACAUUUUCCUGCAUGAAACUCAGGCAGCUUUCUGUUAAAUCAAGUUGAGAAAUACUUUCUCUAUUCUUGAAACCGAAAAAUUCAUGGUAUUCAACGUGGUUCAAAUUGAAAAGUUGGUGAAUCCUUCGCUGGAAACUACUGAGUCCUUUUAGAGCAACCUUCAGGUGCUGACCUUUCAUCAAGGAUUCUAGAGUUGGUUUUCAAUUUACGGUAUGUAUUCAGCUUAGCGACGUUGACAACUUAAAGGCUGGCUGGCUUAAGCACAACAAAUUGUUUCUGUAACAAUCAAUGAAAGGAACGACAAUCAGUUCUUGAGGUUC